UGGAUCUGUCCUGGAGACUGAAGUAAUCUAUCCACAGAACAUCUAUAGCACAGGCAAUGGCAGUACAAGCUUCCCUCAUGCAGCCAUGUCAAUAAGCUUCAGCCAUGAGCAGUAGUGACCCACCACUAGGAGUAUGAUGAAUUUUCAGUCUUUGGUUCUGACCCUGCCAGUAGCUGCU
rnacentral:sRNA from 1 species